rnacentral:SRP_RNA from 12 species
GGAAGGCAGCAGCCGCAGCGAGCA